rnacentral:ncRNA from 2 species
GCUAACCGCUCUGGAGAGCUUGCCAUUUUUUUUAAGUGGCAACACCGAAGGGAAGAAGUAAUUUUUGAAUUACGAAAAUCUCAGGUAUCAGGACAGAUGGGGUGUG